UGUGCUCUGCCCGUCUCGGCCAAUCGGGCUAUUGGAAGAAGUUGGGCUCAACUCAUCAGCCUGCCACUGAAUUCCCCUAAAAAAAUAAAUUCAGCCUGCCACUGAAAAGAAAUGAAGGAAAAAACAACGGCAGAGCACGGCUGCGAACUACGCUCGCCCGAUGCGACGGCGCAGUCGCCCGUCGGGAAGGAGAUGAAACCGGCCGCCGGUUCGUUGUUGCCGCCCACGACCGUCCUCCUCCGCGGAUGCCCACACCAAUAUCGGGCCCGACCUCUGGGCGUGGCGUCAUUCUCCCUAGUCCUGCCCGUCACAGAGACCCUAACAGUGAACUAUUCCGGCAAGCGCGGGCGUGCUAGGGCUGUGACGUCCAAGCGCCGUGGAAACCGACUACGCGUACCGAUGGCGCAGUCGAUCGCUGUAGCGGCGCACUGGUGGUGGCUUAGACGGGUGAUCGCUGUACCACGCGUGCUACCUGCUCGACCGAAUGCCUCAGUCCAGGGCUCCUACCUACCAGGCAACAAAAGAUGAAAAGAAAGAGCAGUUUCUCCUCUCUUCAGAAAAUUUUAAGCACAAUUCGAUACUGACGAGCCAGGACCAAGGAGCCAAGGACUUUGUAUAUCUAGUCAUUUACCUGAAAUGCCAGUGAAAGAAACCGAGGAUGGCUGUGGAUAUGACGAGGUGAAGAAUGGCGGGUUGUGAGUUGUGACACGUUGGCAGGAGAGUCAACGGCCAGCGGCGAGCUACACAUGUGCAGCCGCCGCUUUCGGCCGGGCCGGGCCAUCGCCCUGCGCUGCCCGCCAGAGUCCAUGCACGGCGCAGCACGGCACAGCUCCAUACCUGAGCGCUUUAUACGGGACAAAGGAACGGAGGGCAAUUAUCCUGCAUUUUGGUUCGAGCCGACGGCUGGCAAAACCCAUGGACGACACAGCCGGCCGCGGCUGCUCUGCAAGAUGCGAUGAUCCGUUGCUAUGCACUAGCACUGGGUUGUAGGUGAGAAUUGGAUGAUCGUUGGUUUAAAAUUAUCUCGCUCACUGUUUUUCCCUGCAAAAUAUUCAGGGGACUACAUGUGCACUUGUGCAGUUGUUUCUGGGAAAGAAAACAUGCAUAAUUGGACUCUCUUUUUUUAAUCCAAGGCAUAAUUGGACUUGAUCGGCGAGUCA